rnacentral:rRNA from 1 species
AAACCAACAGGGAUUGCCUUAGUAACGGCGAGUGAAGCGGCAACAGCUCAAAUUUGAAAUCUGGCCCUCGGGUCCGAAUUGUAAUUUGUAGAGGAUGAUUUUGGUGCGGUAUCUUCCGAGUUCCUUGGAACAGGACGCCUUAGAGGGUGAGAGCCCCGUACGGUUGAAUGCCUAGCCUCUGUAAAUCUCCUUCGACGAGUCGAGUAGUUUGGGAAUGCUGCUCUAAAUGGGAGGUAAAUUUCUUCUAAAGCUAAAUAUUGGCCAGAGACCGAUAGCGCACAAGUAGAGUGAUCGAAAGAUGAAAAGCACUUUGAAAAGAGGGUUAAAUAGCACGUGAAAUUGUUGAAAGGGAAGGAUUUGUGACCAGACUUUUUCUGGGCGGAUCAUCCGGGGUUCUCUCCGGUGCACUUUGCCCAGUAAAGGCCAGCAUCGAUUUUUGGCGGCGGAUAAAAGCAGUGGGAAUGUGGCUCCCUACGGGGAGUGUUAUAGCCCAUUGUAUAAUACGCUGCUGGGGAUCGAGGUACGCGCUUCUGCAAGGAUGCUGGCGUAAUGGUUAUCAAUCACCCGUCUUGAAACACGGACCAAGGAGUCGAACAUUUAUGCGAGUGUUUGGGUGUUAAACCCUCACGCGUAAUGAAAGUGAACGGAGGUGAGAGCCCUUACGGGUGCAUCAUCGACCGAUCCUGAAGUUUUCGGAUGGAUUUGAGUAAGAGCAUAACUGUUCGGACCCGAAAGAUGGUGAACUAUGCGUGGAUAGGGUGAAGCCAGAGGAAACUCUGGUGGAGGCUCGCAGCGGUUCUGACGUGCAAAUCGAUCGUCAAAUCUGCGCAUGGGGGCGAAA